UGACAUUUCUACUUAUGCACAUCAAGGUGAUUGGACAGGGGAGCCAAAACUGCUGUAUUCUGAUGUUUUAAUCAGGUGAUUAAAGCUUUUCUUCUAUGUCGCAUUCAAAUGAAUUACAUCCCUCGUUGUCAUGGUUGACCAGUAAUUAGAAUUGGUUCGGAAAAGUUUGUAAAGAAGGAAUUUACUCGGAUGACGAUUUCAUCAAUCAACCAUUGCCAAUUUUUUGUAUAAUUAACUUCUACUGUCAGUGCAGAUUGCUACGUACAAUCAGUUGCAGAUGAUGGAGCAGCUGGUCAGUGUUCCUGCAUGGUCAUUACAUGUUCAUUCAACUACAGUAGAUCAAAGUUUCAGUGAAAAGAAUUGGCAAGCACUAUAAUUUUCUCGAGAAUAGUCAUCUAGAUCAAUUUCUCUGCGAGCCUGCCAAUGGCUUUCGAGUAAAAGUAGCAGAUUGGAAAGUGUGAACAGAGAGACAUUCGAACUCGAAAACCCUCUAUAUGUGCUUGCUCUCUUCUCUUCUUUUCCAUUUUCUCUUGGGCACUUUGUGUAAGAAUCUCAGAAUGUAAAAUAUUGCUGUACAUUUACUUGCUUCAUCUUAUUAAUAAGCAGUUAGGCACCGUAUCUUUAAUGCCCUCGUGUUUAAAUCUGUCUGUAUGUUAUUCUUUGAAAUUCAGAUUCUAGUCAUUGUUUUGUCAGGUUGAAUGGUUG
rnacentral:lncRNA from 1 species